rnacentral:misc_RNA from 1 species
AAUUUUUUGAAUAAUUUUCCAUUUUUAUUUCAAGGGAAACUUCUCUCUCUCUAUAUAUAUCUUUUAAGCUCUUUAUUAUGUUUUGAUUUGUCAGCUUUAUCAGCCUAGUAGAUUAAAAGCUAUUUAUUUGGGUUAGAGAUCUGGCAUUGAAGGCCAGACUGCCCUAUUUAGAUGAUAUGCAACGCCAGCAUAAGGAGUGUGAUUGCUCAAGGAGGAAUAUUAUCCAAAACAAGGUCGCAGUUGAGCAAUAUCAGGAGUUUACAUGCAGGUCUCCACCUAAGUUAUACGUUAAAACCUGAGUUGUCAAUGAAUCUAAGUAUGAUGGUCGAUUCGGGCUCAACGGCAAAACGGGGACCUGUUGUUGAUGUGUUCCCAGAGAGAGAUGAUGAUGGUGGAUAUGUUAGUGGAGGUUGGAAAAGUGAAGAUGGCAAACUGAGUUGUGGAUAUUCAAGUUUCAGGGGAAAGAGAGCCACGAUGGAGGAUUUCUAUGAUAUUAAAAAUACAAAGAUUCAUGGUCAAAGAGUCUCCAUGUUUGCAAUCUUUGAUGGUCAUGGUGGUUCCCGUGCUGCUGAGUAUUUGAAGGAGCACCUGUUCGAUAAUCUGAUAAAGCAUCCACAAUUCAUGGAAAAUACAAAACUGGCUAUAAGUGAAACAUAUCAACAAACUGAUGUGGACUUCUUGGACNNNNNNNNNNUGAUGAUGGAUCUACUGCUUCAACAGCUGUAUUAGUUGGUAACCAUUUAUAUGUUGCCAAUGUUGGAGAUUCACGAACUGUGAUAUCAAAAGCUGGGAAAGCAAUUCCUCUCUCUGAAGAUCAUAA